rnacentral:lncRNA from 1 species
GUUUUGGUAAGUAUAAGACCAUGUGUACGAAACGACCAAUUUUCUUUAUUUAGGCUGGUACGAGUAUAAGUAAAAACUAGUUGUUACCAUGGUUAGUUAAUUUGUGAAUUAUUAGCGAAUUAUUCGCGAAUUUUUGAAGAAACGAAUUAAACAGUAAUAUCCGUAUUUUUCCGAAAAAUUUAAAAAUAAAAUUUUUUUUUUCAUCAAAAGUAUGGGUGGUUAUAAAAAGAAAAUAAUGAUAUCUCGCUGUAGUGUCCCUGGUGUGUGGCUGCCUUUGUGACUUCAGUAUAUGUGGCUUGUCGACAUAUCUGGUGAGUUUCGAGACAAGUCGGAGUCGUUUUGGCGUAAAAUGGACGCAAAACGGACUCGGCGCAGAGCGAGAAUGGAGAG